AGUGGUAAAACUAGCCUUCCAAGCUAAC
rnacentral:tRNA from 1 species